rnacentral:misc_RNA from 1 species
UGCGGCUGGAUCACCUCCUUUCUAAGGAAGA